CGUAGGGGGCUAGCGCUAUCCGGAAUUACUGGGCGUAAAGGGUGCGUAGGUGGUUUCUUAAGUCAGAGGUGAAAGGCUACGGCUCAACCGUAGUAAGCCUUUGAAACUGGGAAACUUGAGUGCAGGAGAGGAGAGUGGAAUUCCUAGUGUAGCGGUGAAAUGCGUAGAUAUUAGGAGGAACACCAGUUGCGAAGGCGGCUCUCUGGACUGUAAUUGACACUGAGGCACGAAAGCGUGGGGAGCAAACAGGAUUAGAUACCCUGGUAGUCCCUGA
rnacentral:rRNA from 1 species